GCCAGCAUGGCAUAGUGGUUUGAGUGUUGGACUACAACUCUGGAGAUGAGGGUUCAAAUCCCGGCUUGGCC